GCGUCUCAUUACAGAACACUGCAGUACUCCAAUCCUGUAGAAAUGGUAUAAAAAAAAAAAAAAAUGAUUGGCGUGUUGAUGUGAAUGGUGUGAUGGUGAAAAUGUGAUUUGUUCAAUCAUUUUUACAAGUUUUGGAGUUUUGCAGUAUCCUGUGAUGAGACGAAUAGUAUUGACGGACAGCUGAUUUACUGAUUAGCAUGGCUAUCUUUGACGAAAAAAUAAAUAGUUGGUAGGCUACGUGAGGUCCCAGGAUGCUGCUGAGUGAACGCCAUUGUUGACAGGGUGAAAAAAAAACUGCAAUGCAGUGAGCUCAGUACUGGUGACUGCACUAUUGCUGCAUAUUCAAGUCUUGGUCUUAUCGUCAAUGUUAUUAAUUUCUUGAUCACAUCUUCAUUCAGAGUGUCCUCCAAGACUGCCUGCAACUUUCUGUUAAUCUCCAGGGAGAGCUCAAGAGUCAUAGUUCCAUCCCGAGGUGCUGAUCCAUACACUGAUGCCAUGAUACCACCAUGCCGCAUCAACUCAGCCUGAGAAGAGACAAAGUGGAUUUUAGUUUGUAUGAAUUGUAUGCCUUUACAUAUUGAUAAAAAAUAUGCAAGAAUCAAUAAGCACCUUUAAGUAUGCUUUAAAACUACACUAGUAUAUGUUUUUGCAACCAAUAUUGGAGGACGCACCUGUUUCUUUGAACCUGGUAUCCUGGUAGCAGCAUUGGAAGACUGAUAUAAAAAUGUUAUUAAUACUGGGUCAGUUCUCCAACUAGCCCAAAAAAUAAAAGUGUCAAGAUCUUA
rnacentral:lncRNA from 1 species